CAUUAUGUCCGCGUUCUCUUUCCUCUCGGUCGGAAAGUCAAAGGAGAACCAGUUCUUACCGAACCCGAAUCCUAUAGAAUUAGAUCGAGAAUUCUUUCCCCCUCCCCAUGGAAAUCCACCCCAUAUAUGUCUCCUCCCUAGAAACCGUAGAUCCACGAGACCACGAUGAAGGAUUCAGUCGAGAGAUGCUCAUGAAAUCACGUCAAAGCCGAUUCGACCUGGCCGAGCUUCCCGGCGACCGAAUCAAUGGCCAGGUCACGCUGUCUGUAGCAGCGGCGGGAGGACCGUGGCGGCGCGGAGUUCCCGGUGGCAGUGGCGGCUCGAAGCUCGCUGGCGAGCGAUGGGAUGCAGAAACAGGGGGAAUCGGAAGAUCUUGCCUUCAGACUCAAUCGCGGAAUCGAUUAAGUCGAUGGCCUGGAGAGGAACUUGUGGCACGGCGGUGGGCCGGCAGUGACGACUGAAAGUGCUGGCGUUGCUGCCCAUGGAGCUUCGCCAACUUCAUGAGAAGCACUUGCGAGCCUGUUGGUGCUAGGCUUCUAUUCUAAUGAGGCUGAUGUAUCUACAUGUGCUCGCCAUGCUAGAUCCACAUGUCUGACCAGUGGCUGCUCACAUGCUGGCGGAGGCAAGGCCUUGCCGCAUCGUGUGCGCCUCUUCACUACAUAUCGUCCUCCAUGGAGGCGCCGUUAACUGUGCUAUACAGUUCCAUGGUUGCCUGGACGUUAUUGCUAUCAGUGUUUGCUCAUUCGUUAUCUGAUGUUGAUGUGCUCUUGCAUGUUGUCUCCGCGAAGGAGUGUCCCUGGGCGGUCGUGAUCCCCUGGUACAGUGAGAAGAACUGCUGGUUUGAUGAAGUUAAACUCAACUACAAAUCAUCUAUAUUGUGGUAGAAUUCAGAUGAAUUCAUCAGUUAUGACAUUUAAUUUUAUACUGUGAGCAGCAUUAGUUUCUUCUGAAGAAAUUUUAGUUGUGAAUAGUUUCAGAAUAGCUGUUGCAUUUGAGCUAUUUUAGAUGGCCACAUUUAUUUCGUGCACAAGAGUAAACUGUUGUAAUUUGUUACUUCAUGUUUGUGACAACAUUGAUUUAAAGAACAUGCUGAUCGGUCGGGCUGGAAUAGGGCUAAGGAGUUCAUCCACAUGUUUUACUCAGCGACAAUGGCAAUAGAGUCCUGGGCAAGAUAUGAUUUUCACUA